GGGCGGGUAGCUCAGUGGUAGAGCAACUGACUUUUAAUCAGUUGGCCGUGGGUUCGAUCCCCACCCCGCUCACCA
rnacentral:tRNA from 1 species